GUGUGUGUUCUGUUGUGUGUGUGUUAUUUUGCAGCUUACAGCUCAUUCAAGUGCCACUGGUCUUGCAGUAUUUCAUCUUUUCCAAACAACCGAGUAAAUUUACAGCUCAUUCAAGUGCCACUGGUCUGUUUUUGGAGAAUUUCAUCUUUAAGGUGCUGUGAGAAAGAGCCAUGUCUCCUGUGCCGCCACUGACAUUACAAAACACGUAAUACGGUGGUUCAACUUGGCAGCAGAUAGGGGAAACUCAAGGAGCCGUCCCACUGUCAGCACCCAACAGUAGCGUUUCGGUGUUUCACAGUUAACUUCUGUGUUUUGAAGUGUUCGUUUAACAGUUAAGUAGUAACAGUUGAGAUAAAGUUUACUACUUUAAAUAGUUUUGUUUCUAUUCAUCUUCAAAACCAGUUUCCACACAAAAAAAUAAGCAGUGCAACAUUAAUAAGAAUAAAUGUUUCUUGAGCUACAUUAAAAAAGUGUUCUUUUUCAUUAAAUAAAAAAUGUUCUUUGGACAAUUUAUGGUUGCAUUUCAUUUUCUGUAAUACCUAUUAAUUGUAUACAUAAAUAAUUGUUACUGGCUAAAAUGGCUGAAUUUUGAUUUACAAGUUUUGAAUGAUUUCAUCAUGUUUUAUUAAUAAAGGCAGGCAUAUUAAAUAUUAUAGAGCAAUCCAGUCUAUCCAAUGUCGGUCCAUUAGAUUUGAAA